rnacentral:rRNA from 1 species
GCUAUACAGCUAGCUUUUAUACCUAAAUUUUUCCAACAACAUACAACAAACUUCAUUUAACUCAACUCACAUUACUAAAACAUUCUACCGCCCUAGUACAAGUGAUGGAAAAGGCUCCUAUAAAGCAAUAAAAAAAGUACCGUAAGGGAAAGCUGAAAAAGAAAUGAAAUAAAUCAUUAAAGCCAAACAAAGCAGAGAUUAACCCUCGUACCUUUUGCAUCAUGAUUUAGCCAGCCACUCUGAGCAAAGAGUACUUUAGUUCAAGACCCCGAAACUAAGUGAGCUACCCCGGGGCAGCCUAUUUUAGGGCCAACCCGUCUCUGUGGCAAAAGAGUGGGAAGACCUCUGGGUAGGGGUGACAAACCUACCGAACUUAGUUAUAGCUGGUUGCCUAAGAAAUGGAUAGAAGUUCAGCCUCACACUCCUCAACUCACAAAAAGUUAAUACUAACCAAUGAGCAUGAGAAAUAUGCGAGAGUUAGUCAGAGGGGGUACAGCCCCUCUGAAAAAGGAUACAACCUUACUAGGAGGUUAAAGAUCAUAUUAACCAAGAUUACCGCUCCAGUGGGCCUGAAAGCAGCCACCUGUGUAGAAAGCGUUAAAGCUCAAGCAGCCCACAAUCUAUUAUCUAGAUAUCUAAUCUUAAACCCCUAAUCAUAUUAGGCCUUUCCAUGCCCCCAUGGAAGUGAUAAUGCUAAAAUGAGUAAUAAGAAGGGACCCCCUUCUCCAAGCCUACGUGUAAGCUAGAUCGGACCAACCACUAGCUAUUAACGAACCCAACAAAAGAGGGUAAUGUAAUUAUACCCAUAACCAAGAAAAAAUUACACAACACUAUCGUUAACCCAACACUGGAAGGCUCACAAGGAAAGACUAAAAGAAGAGGAAGGAACUCGGCAAACACAAGCCUCGCCUGUUUACCAAAAACAUCGCCUCCUGCAAAAAUCAAUAUAUAGGAGGUCUUACCUGCCCAGUGACUACAAGUUUAACGGCCGCGGUAUUCUGACCGUGCAAAGGUAGCGUAAUCACCUGUCUUUUAANUGAAGACCCGUAUGAAUGGUAAAACGAGGGCUUAACUGUCUCCCUCUUCCAGUCAAUGAAAUUGAUUUGCCCGUGCAGAAGCAGGCAUAAAAAUACAAGACGAGAAGACCCUUUGGAGCUUAAGACACAAGACCACUUAUGUCAAGAACCCUAAAAAGAUUAAACUAAAUAACAACUGGUCCCAGUCUUCGGUUGGGGCGACCACGGGAGAAAAUAAAGCUCCCAUGCGGACCGGGGAAGUCCCCUAAAACCAAGAGAGACAUCUCUAAGGCACAGAACAUCUGACCACCAGAUCCGGCCUACAUGCCGACCAACGAACCAAGUUACCCUAGGGAUAACAGCGCAAUCCCCUUCCAGAGUCCAUAUCGACAAGGGGGCUUACGACCUCGAUGUUGGAUCAGGACAUCCUAUUGGUGCAGCCGCUAUUAAGGGUUCGUUUGUUCAACGAUUAAAGUCCUACGUGAUCUGAGUUCAGACCGGAGCAAUCCAGGUCAGUUUCUAUCUGUAAUGCCACUUUCCCCAGUACGAAAGGACCGGGAAAAUGGGGCCCAUGUUCAAAACACGCCCCUCCCUAAAUUAAUGUAAUCAACUAAAUUAAACAAAAGGUAGAGCACAACCAAUAAAUCAAGACNNNNNN